UAACAGGUCCUUAUCAGGACCAUAAAUUUUAGGAGGACUAAAAUUG
rfam:Canis lupus familiaris chromosome 31, whole genome shotgun sequence.